UCUUGGUCAUUUAGAGGAAGUAAAAGUCGUAACAAGGUCUCCGUUGGUGAACCAGCGGAGGGAUCAUUACCGAGUUUACAACUCCCAAACCCCUGUGAACAUACCACUUGUUGCCUCGGCGGAUCAGCCCGCUCCCGGUAAAACGGGACGGCCCGCCAGAGGACCCCUAAACUCUGUUUCUAUAUGUAACUUCUGAGUAAAACCAUAAAUAAAUCAAAACUUUCAACAACGGAUCUCUUGGUUCUGGCAUCGAUGAAGAACGCAGCAAAAUGCGAUAAGUAAUGUGAAUUGCAGAAUUCAGUGAAUCAUCGAAUCUUUGAACGCACAUUGCGCCCGCCAGUAUUCUGGCGGGCAUGCCUGUUCGAGCGUCAUUUCAACCCUCAAGCCCUCGGGUUUGGUGUUGGGGAUCGGCGAGCCCUUGCGGCAAGCCGGCCCCGAAAUCUAGUGGCGGUCUCGCUGCAGCCUCCAUUGCGUAGUAGUAAAACCCUCGCAACUGGAACGCGGCGCGGCCAAGCCGUUAAACCCCCAACUUCUGAAUGUUGGCCUCGGAUCAGGUAGGAAUACCCGCUGAACUUAAGCAUAUCAAUAAGCGGAGGAA
rnacentral:rRNA from 1 species